rnacentral:tRNA from 3 species
UGUAAGAAAGACUAAGGGA